UGAUCUCAUUGUUUGUCAGCACAUGGCAUCAAACUAAACAAUUAACAGGCCAAUUGUAAAUGCAUUCACCAGAGCUAAAAGUUUCAUUACGCAUUAUUUUACCACAACAAUUCAACUAAAUCCAUUGGACUAGAAGAAACCCAGAAUAUUACAAUUAAUUAUUGAAAAUACUGGGUCUGGUUGAUGUGAGAGUGAAGAGCUGUUAACCCUAAUUGCUAACCCUUAUUGCUAGCCCUAAACCUAAACUCGACCCGUCUGGUAAAUCCAACUACUGCAGAGCUCCGGAAUACAUGGGCACUUCACAAGCUUGAGGCCAUAAACACUGAGGGCACUCACAACGAGGGUUCCAAGUAUUUGUCAGCAACAAAUACCAUGCCUGCUUUAAUGACUUCUUACAACCCCAACAACAGCGUUCUUAUACAGAAACCCACAAAAAAUGAUUAGCCCUCUGUGCCCCACAAAUUAACAGAUCCAUAACAGAAUUAGCAGAAUUAGCUGAUCUAUCACAGCUGCCCUAUUGAUAUUAAAAAUACACGCCUGAAUGAAGAAAAACAUGUAAGAAAAUGCCAGUGGAAUCCUGUCUGGAAUAUAUUAUUGAACAGUGUAUUGUGGGGGGUACAUAAGAAUCUGCACAAAAGAUCUCCUUUGUCAGUUUGAGCCUGAGGCCCAACAUCACACAUUAUGCUUUCUGUCUUGCUCGCUUGCUCUAUGAAUGUUCAAAGCCAAGUGAUCCCUGGGUAGUGAGGGAAAAAUAAAUAAAAUAAAAUAAAAUAAAAGCUUGAUUGAUUGAGGCAAGAGAACAAGCCUUCAACAGCCUGUCAUGUGUGGGCUCUACAACAACAAAAGAAAAGGAGAGAAACAUAAGAAUAAAAAUAAGAAAGCCAACAACAAAAACAUAAAAAGCAACGACGACGACGAAGAAGCUACAUCAGCUGCUUCAAUAAUGGGCUACAGUUAUUUUGGCAUGAGUUCCCUUUAUGCAACUACAAGAUCCAUCAGGAAAAGGCUCGUGACUCAAACAAAUGGUCUCAUCCAUUUAUUUACUUAUUUAUACAUUUUUUUCUCUUGCAAUAAUUUUGAAAAGCUCCCUUUCUGGUGUGAGGGUUGUAGGUCACCGGUUUGUAUGUGCCCAAAGCUGUCAGUGUAAGUCACUAGGAUGCAAACCCUAAGAAAACUCAUACAGUAAAAAAGAUAAAUAAGAGCAUAUAAGUGAGCUCUUGCUUGUGAAUGAAGAAUCAUGAAUGGCAAUCAGUUGAUUCCAUUCAACACACACAAUCAAUUAUUUCAACGUUUCAAUGAAACAGUAAUGAAACAUGGUGUGCAGAAUUUCAUUCAUUCAUUUGUUUACUUGGUCACUUUUGGCAACUUGUUAUAACAUUGGAUCAUAAACAAAUAAACACAAUUAGGUCUUGAAUC
rnacentral:lncRNA from 1 species